rnacentral:rRNA from 1 species
CCCGCCGGCGACCGGCGCACGGGUGAGUAACACGUAUGCAACCUGGCCGCCACAGGGGGAUAACCCGCGGAAACGCGGCCUAAUACCCCGUGACGCCACCGGAGGGCAUCCUCCGGUGGCCAAAGGAGCGAUCCGGUGGCGGAUGGGCAUGCGGCGCAUUAGCUAGACGGCGGGGUGACGGCCCACCGUGGCGACGAUGCGUAGGGGUUCUGAGAGGAAGGCCCCCCACACUGGGACUGAGACACGGCCCAAACUCCUACGGGAGGCAGCAG